rnacentral:rRNA from 1 species
GAUGAACGCUGGCGGCGUGCUUAACACAUGCAAGCCGAACGGUGAAAGAGAGCUUGCUCUCUGGAUCAGUGGCGAACGGGUGAGUAACACGUGAGUAACCUGCCCUUGACUCUGGGAUAAGCACUGGAAACGGUGUCUAAUACCGGAUACGAGCUUCAGUCGCAUGGCUAGGAGCUGGAAAGAAUUUCGGUCAAGGAUGGACUCGCGGCCUAUCAGCUAGUUGGUGAGGUAAUGGCCCACCAAGGCGACGACGGGUAGCCGGCCUGAGAGGGUGACCGGCCACACUGGGACUGAGACACGGCCCAGACUCCUACGGGAGGCAGCAGUGGGAAUAUUGCACAAUGGGCGCAAGCCUGAUGCAGCAACGCCGCGUGAGGGACGACGGCCU